UUAAGUUGUUAGUUUACUCGGAGUAGUUAGAGAUGACAAAAAUACCCUGGGCUUUAUUUAACUUGAGUGUUUAAUGGAGGGGCAAAAUAAUCAUUCAUUAGGUAGUAUAUUAGUUUGUCUUAUAUAGAAUUAUCUAGGCUGAAGUAGUGUUUUAAUGUUAGGUUUAUAUUAUUAAAUUUAACAUUUAGUUAGAUAAUUGAAGAUAAACUCAACUAAGGAAUAUCACUUUAUCUCUCUCUCUCUCUCUCUCUCUCUCUCUCUCUCUCUCUCUCUCUCUCUCUCUCUCCCCCUUCGAGCCCUAGAAACCAACUGAAGCAAAGAAGUUUUGUUCAUCAAAUCCACUAUUUUCUAGCUAAAUUAGCUAACCCUAGGUGUUGUUCAAGCUUUGAGAACCGGGAUCGUCGAGCAUUAUUCAACUCAGGUCGACCCACACACCUAAUUUUGGAUUCAAGGUAAGGGUAAAGGAAAGCUGGACCAAGCAUGAGUCUGAGGUCUCUCGACAAUGUACAUAUCAGUCGCUGCAUCUUGGCUCUCAAUGGACAGGAUCCAUCUUUUGGCUGUAUUUUGAAAAUAUAACCUUAUUUUGUAAUAGCUAUUUUGUUACAUGGUGUAAAAGUUUAUAAACAAGGGGAUCCUCGAAACCAGUAGUAUUUUGUAAGAAAAGUUUUAAUUAUGAAAUUAAGUUAUUUUAUUAAAACUUUUAGUUAAACAAAAUUUUCUUAAACUGUAAGUUUAUUAUUAUAAAUUAAUUGAUAAAAGCACAUACGUGGCGCCUUUACGAGUUAGGGCGUUACAUUGGUGAUCUCUAAUUUUUUUUCGUAGUGAGGUUGCAAACAUUAUCUUCUCUUUGUUGUUGUAGAAGUCAUCUCCUAAUGGUGUUUUCUCUUUGAAAAUGGCUUACUGGGAUUUGAACAAAACUAGAUUUAUGCAGUAGGAUGAGAUUUACUUGAAAAUUUAGUCUUCUCAAAUUCAUGAUCGAUUGAAAUUAUUUUUGUGGAAGAUGUAUAAGGAUUCUCUCCCUUUUGGAACACGUCUAGCUGUAAUUUUGGCAAUACGGUGGGAUCUUGUUCCUUAUGUGGAGAGGAUUAUAGUGAUUCUGCAGAACAUUUCUACACAAGUGUCCCAUAACUAAAGGUAUUUGGUUCUCUAGUGUGUGCAACAUUCGCACUGAUGAAAUUCCUUUUCAUUUGUGGAGAGGUUGUUAAUUGGAUUUUUAAUUCAAGGAUUCUUGAUGCUAAUAAUAUACAGGGUAACAAUGAUGAUUUUGUGGUUUUUGCUGUUGUCCUUUACUAUUAUCUUUGGUACUUUAAGGAUACUAAUUACCAUAACGGGGAGAGAUGGCUUACAGGAGAGAUCAAAAACAAGAUCAAUGUGGCUUUUCUUCGCUAUAGAAAGGUUCUCAUGACUAAAGGAGUCAAUGGCAAAGUUACGGGCAGAAUACAUGACAUUCGCUAGGUAAGAUUGUCUCAAGCUUCAACAAGGCCUUAGGCAAAGCUUGAACAAGGCCUUAGGCGAAAAUUAAAUUAGACUUUUUGACAAAAUUAUUAAUUAUAUCAGUUUAUUAA